rnacentral:lncRNA from 1 species
UUUAAAGGUUAAUUUGGCUAUAUAUUUUUUUUAAUAUUUCUUCUUGAGUUUUAGGUAGAUACAAUAUCUUUAUUUUACAUUUAUGUGGUGCUGAAGAUCAAACCCAGUGCCUUGUGCAUGCUAAGUGAGCACUCUACUACUGAGCCAUAACCCCAGCCCCUGGCUAUAUCUUUUAACAUGCACAUUCUUUUUUUGUUGUUGUUCUACUUACUUGUACAUGACAGCAGAAUGCAUUUCAAUUCAUUGUACACAAAUGGAGUACAGCAUUUCAAUUCUCUGGUUGCACAUUGUGUAGAGAGGUACCAUUAGAACAUGCACAUUCCUUGAUUCAACUUUCAUAAAGAACUUUUUCAGCAAGUGUGUAGAAAUUUCUCUAGGGAUAACUAUGUGAAAAGAUGUUUGUUGCAGUUGUUUGUGAGAAACUGUUAGCAGUUAGUCAUCCUUCAGAAGGGUAUAUUAAAUAUACUGUAUAGAUCUUGUGGGAAUAUUGUAAAGCAGUUAAAAAGAAUGUGGUAUAUUUAUACACAUGUAAAGAAAAUGAACUCUAAGAUCGAUUGUUAAGUGAAACAAUCAGAUUGCUAAAUAAGAUGGUAUGAAAAAGAUAUGAAACAUUUAAAUACUCUCCCAAACACACAUGCGUACCACAUACGCACUUAUUUAUUUUCUGCUUAUAUCUGUGUAGAUACAUCUAUGUACACGUAUAGAUAAAUACCUAUACCAAUCUAAGAAACUAUAGAUAAUACUAUCCUUUG